UAUUGCCCUGACCCCGGAAUUCCUCUCCCAUGACCAGGACCAGCUCUUCCAGAAGCUUCAGUAGCAUGGGAAGUCAGUGACAGCCCCAUAUAAGUACCUGAGGAAGUGCCAUGUGGAACCUAUGGAACUGUCCAGCAAUAGAGAAGUGAUUGAAUUAUUCAUGAUCUGAGAUGGUGUAACCAUCCACUUUACAGAGUGGAAAUGGAGGUUCAGAGACUCCAAGUAAAUUGCCUGAGAUUGGAGCGAAUAAAUGGAUGGAGCUGGAACUCCAACCCACGUGUAUC